UCCCUGGUGGUCCAGUGGUUAAAACUCUGCACUUCCAAUGCAGAGUUCCCAGGUUCGAUCCCUGGUCAGGCAA
rnacentral:tRNA from 1 species